rnacentral:lncRNA from 1 species
UUCAAUUAGCCGAUUGAACGCUACACCAAGCUCCGCUUGGUAUUUGUCCCUCGGACUAUAUAUUUCUAGAAGCGACCCUACUACCGUCAAGUCAAUUAGUACAUCUCUUCAAAGCUAUUUAAUGCGAUAAAAAUUUGUACUAGCUCCCUUUUGCCAUUGCCACGUAAAUCAGGCACAAUAUUGGCAUACAUUAUCGUGUUUGUGUGUAGGCCGUUAAACAAUGGCCCCUACCUCGGGAAGAAGAUUUUAAUCAAGCACCUGGAAAAGAAAACCUUCUACCGCUACCUUGGAGAGAGAAUUAGCUUACAACCGCAUCCUGAUGCAGUAGAAUAAAUUAAACAAGACAGCCCUACAGAGACAAGACAGCCCAACAACGUAGCCCUAGACUUCCCUUAACUACUGGCGACGACAAAUUCUACAGGGAUUGGGGACUUCCUUUAGGAACUGUAACGGAAGGACUUAAAGCUGAGUAAAUUUUACCUUUAUAACUUUUGUACCGAUUACCAGCGGGGUCUCGGUCACGGGCUUAGAAAAUUAACUUGGUUAUCAGUAAUCAGUAUACAAUAAAAAUGAUUUUUGUUAA